CAUUGACGCCGCGUGAGGGAUGAAGGUCUUCGGAUUGUAAACCUCUUUCAGUAGGGAAGAAGCGAAAGUGACGGUACCUAAAGAAGAAGCACCGGCUAACUAUGUGCCAGCAGCCGCGGUAAUACAUAGGGUGCAAGCGUUGUCCGGAAUUAUUGGGCGUAAAGAGCUCGUAGGUCGUUUGUCGCGUCGAUUGUGAAAAUCUGAGGCUCAACCUCAGACCUGCAGUCGAUACGGGCAAACUAGAGUGUGGUAGGGGAGACUGGAAUUCCUGGUGUAGCGGUGGAAUGCGCAGAUAUCAGGAGGAACACCAAUGGCGAAGGCAGGUCUCUGGGCCAUAACUGACACUGAGGAGCGAAAGUGCGGGGAGCGAACAGGAUUAGAUACCCUGGUAGUCCGCACCGUAAACGGUGGGCACUAGUUGUGGGAACCUUCCACGGUUUCCGCGACGCAGCAAACGCAUUAAGUGCCCCGNCUGGGGAGUACGAUCGCAAAGAUUAAGACUCAAAGGAAUUGACGGGGCCCCGCACAAGCAGUGGAGCAUUGCGGCUUAAUUCGACGGCACGCGAAGAAACUUUACC
rnacentral:rRNA from 1 species